CAAUGGUAAACUUAUCAGGUUU
rnacentral:piRNA from 1 species